rnacentral:lncRNA from 12 species
CCUGACUGUCCACAAGGGGACGAUGAGGGGGAACAUUGCCGUCAAUUCCUGAAUGGCAGCUAUUGCUCGUUCGGAAGAGAGGAUUGCGACUGGCAGCUGGUUCCAGCAAGGGGACCACAAUGGAGAGCCCAUCCGUCCAUUCCCCAAAGCCUCAGAAGCAGCUGUCCAUCACCAGGGGCCUUGCUGGCCAUUGACAGUCAGCCCAAAGGUCAGCGAGGAUCAGCCCAGGUGCGAAGCCCGCUUUUCUUCUACCCUCUACGGAACGCCCCUUGCAUGGUUAAGUUUUGGGUGUGUGGAUCUUCAAAUGGAGUGCUUUCGCUCUGGAUUAUAG